GAUGAACGCUGGCGGCGUGCCUAAUACAUGCAAGUCGAGCGAACGGACGAGAAGCUUGCUUCUCUGAUGUUAGCGGCGGACGGGUGAGUAACACGUGGAUAACCUACCUAUAAGACUGGGAUAACUUCGGGAAACCGGAGCUAAUACCGGAUAAUAUUUUGAACCGCAUGGUUCAAAAGUAAAAGACGGUCUUGCUGUCACUUAUAGAUGGAUCCGCGCUGCAUUAGCUAGUUGGUAAGGUAACGGCUUACCAAGGCAACGAUGGAUAGCCGACCUGAGAGGGUGAUCGGCCACACUGGAACUGAGACACGGUCCAGACUCCUACGGGAGGCAGCAGUAGGGAAUCUUCCGCAAUGGGCGAAAGCCUGACGGGGCAACGCCGCGUGAGUGAUGAAGGUCUUCGGAUCGUAAAACUCUGUUAUUAGGGAAGAACAUAUGUGUAAGUAACUGUGCACAUCUUGACGGUACCUAAUCAGAAAGCCACGGCUAACUACGUG
rnacentral:rRNA from 1 species